rnacentral:rRNA from 1 species
GAUGAACGCUGGCGGCGUGCCUAAUACAUGCAAGUCGAGCGAACGGACGAGAAGCUUGCUUCUCUGAUGUUAGCGGCGGACGGGUGAGUAACACGUGGAUAACCUACCUAUAAGACUGGGAUAACUUCGGGAAACCGUAGCUAAUACCGGAUAAUAUUUUGAACCGCAUGGUUCAAAAGUGAAAGACGGUCUUGCUGUCACUUAUAGAUGGAUCCGCGCUGCAUUAGCUAGUUGGUAAGGUAACGGCUUACCAAGGCAACGAUGCAUAGCCGACCUGAGAGGGUGAUCGGCCACACUGGAACUGAGACACGGUCCAGACUCCUACGGGAGGCAGCAGUAGGGAAUCUUCCGCAAUGGGCGAAAGCCUGACGGAGCAACGCCGCGUGAGUGAUGAAGGUCUUCGGAUCGUAAAACUCUGUGAUUAGGGAAGAACAUAUGUGUAAGUAACUGUGCACAUCUUGACGGUACCUAAUCAGAAAGCCACGGCUAACUACGUG